AUUGAACGCCGGCGGCAGGCCUAACACAUGCAAGUCGAGCGGAUGAGAGAAGCUUGCUUCUCGAUUCAGCGGCGGACGGGUGAGUAAUGCCUAGGAAUCUGCCUGGUAGUGGGGGACAACGUUUCGAAAGGAACGCUAAUACCGCAUACGUCCUACGGGAGAAAGCAGGGGACCUUCGGGCCUUGCGCUAUCAGAUGAGCCUAGGUCGGAUUAGCUAGUUGGUGAGGUAAUGGCUCACCAAGGCGACGAUCCGUAACUGGUCUGAGAGGAUGAUCAGUCACACUGGAACUGAGACACGGUCCAGACUCCUACGGGAGGCAGCAGUGGGGAAUAUUGGACAAUGGGCGAAAGCCUGAUCCAGCCAUGCCGCGUGUGUGAAGAAGGUCUUCGGAUUGUAAAGCACUUUAAGUUGGGAGGAAGGGUUGUAAGCUAAUAUCUUGCAGCUUUGACGUUACCAACAGAAUAAGCACCGGCUAACUCUGUGCCAGCCGCCGCAGUAACAC
rnacentral:rRNA from 1 species